rnacentral:rRNA from 1 species
AUUGAACGCUGGCGGCAUGCUUUACACAUGCAAGUCGAACGGUAACAUAAGAAAGCUUGCUUUCUUGAUGACGAGUGGCGAACGGGUGAGUAAUACAUCGGAACGUACCCUGUAGUGGGGGAUAACUACUCGAAAGAGUGGCUAAUACCGCAUACAACCUGAGGGUAAAAGUGGGGGACCGCAAGGCCUCACGCUAUAGGAGCGGCCGAUGGAAGAUUAGGUAGUUGGUGGGGUAAAGGCCUACCAAGCCGACGAUCUUUAGCGGGUCUGAGAGGACGAUCCGCCACACUGGGACUGAGACACGGCCCCAGACUCCUACGGGAGGCAGCAGUGGGGAAUUUUGGACAAUGGGCGAAAGCCUGAUCCAGCAAUGCCGCGUGAGUGAAGAAGGCC